UACGUAGGGUGCAAGCGUUAAUCGGAAUUACUGGGCGUAAAGCGUGCGCAGGCGGUUAUGUAAGACAGAUGUGAAAUGCCCGGGCUUAACCUGGGAACUGCAUUUGUGACUGCAUGGCUAGAGUUUGGCAGAGGGGGGUAGAAUUCCACGUGUAGCAGUGAAAUGCGUAGAUAUGUGGAGGAACACCGAUGGCGAAGGCAGCCCCCUGGGUCAAGACUGACGCUCAUGCACGAAAGCGUGGGGAGCA
rnacentral:rRNA from 1 species